UCCUACGGGAGGCAGCAGUGGGGAAUAUUGCACAAUGGGGGGAACCCUGAUGCAGCGACGCCGCGUGAGUGAAGAAGUAUUUCGGUAUGUAAAGCUCUAUCGGCAGGGAAGAAAAUGACGGUACCUGACUAAGAAGCCCCGGCUAACUACGUGCCAGCAGCCGCGGUAAUACGUAGGGGGCAAGCGUUAUCCGGAUUUACUGGGUGUAAAGGGAGCGCAGACGGCGGUGCAAGUCUGGAGUGAAAGGCGGGGGCCCAACCCCCGGACUGCUCUGGAAACUGUAAAGCUGGAGUGCAGGAGAGGUG
rnacentral:rRNA from 1 species